rnacentral:piRNA from 1 species
AGGAGCAAGCGGAGCGGCCGUCGCCCAAG